AGGGAGACAAACUUACUGGUUAUACCUGGUGAGGUUGAGAGUACCUAGAAGAAUAAGCACCGGCUAACUACGUGCCAGCAGCCGCGGUAAUACGUAGGGUGCAAGCGUUAAUCGGAAUUACUGGGCGUAAAGCGUGCGCAGGCGGACUUUUAAGCCAGAUGUGAAAGCCCCGAGCUUAACUUGGGAAUUGCGUUUGGAACUGGGAGUCUAGAGUCUGUCAGAGGGGGAUGGAAUUCCACGUGUAGCAGUGAAAUGCGUAGAGAUGUGGAGGAACACCGAUGGCGAAGGCAGUCCCCUGGGAUAAGACUGACGCUCAUGCACGAAAGCGUGGGGAGCAAACAGGAUUAGAUACCCUGGUAGUCCACGCCCUAAACGAUGUCUACUAGUUGUUGGGGUAGCAAUACCUCAGUGACGCAGCUAACGCGUGAAGUAGACCGCCUGGGGAGUACGGUCGCAAGAUUAAAAACUCAAAGGAAUUGACGGGGGC
rnacentral:rRNA from 1 species